GGCGGCGUCCAGGAGCCUGGAGGCCUCCCGGUCUUCAAAGCUGGUGGCGCCGAGCAUCUCGGCGCGACGGGUUCGAUUCCCGUCCGUCUCCGCCA
rnacentral:tRNA from 1 species